AGCAACCUAAUAUAAUAUAAAUUGAGUUAGGUGGUUUAAUUGAUUUAACUCAUGCCUAUACAUUUCUGAGUAAUGGGACUGGAUCAGAAGUAGAGUCAAGAAAUAGGAAUUACAACACUGGCACUUUCCAAAACCCAAGUUUAUGUACUUCUUCCAUCUCUAUAAGUUUAAGCAUACAUAAUCAAUAAGAAAACUUUCUUCUACAAGUCCUAUAACACGAAAAAAUGGACUACAAUCAGUAACAUUACCCUUGGAUCAGUGCAUGGAGUAUAAUCUUGAAAGUCAAUACUGCAUUCUGGAAAACUAAUGUAUUUAAUUUGCAGAGGACUUAUUGAUAACUCCUCGGGGGACCCAAUGGAUAUCUGGCCAUAUAUUGACAAAAAUCUGUCCUUCUCAGAACAAAAGAUUAUACCCGUAUAGAAAGAAAAUCCACAUAGCACCAC